UGGGGAAUAUUGCACAAUGGGCGCAAGCCUGAUGCAGCCAUGCCGCGUGUGUGCAGAAGGCCUUCGGGUUGUAAAGUACUUUCAGCGGGGAGGAAGGGAGUAAAGUUAAUACCUUUGCUCAUUGACGUUACCCGCAGAAGAAGCACCGGCUAACUCCGUGCCAGCAGCCGCGGUAAUACGGAGGGUGCAAGCGUUAAUCGGAAUUACUGGGCGUAAAGCGCACGCAGGCGGUUUGUUAAGUCAGAUGUGAAAUCCCCGGGCUCAACCUGGGAACUGCAUCUGAUACUGGCAAGCUUGAGUCUCGUAGAGGGGGGUAGAAUUCCAGGUGUAGCGGUGAAAUGCGUAGAGAUCUGGAGGAAUACCGGUGGCGAAGGCGGCCCCCUGGACGAAGACUGACGCUCAGGUGCGAAAGCGUGGGGAGCAAACAGG
rnacentral:rRNA from 1 species